GAAAAGCUUGAGUUGAGGUUCGGGCAGGAGGAAAAAGAGGACACGUGUGAGUGAUUGUGAAACGUGUGGCUGAUGUUACAAUCUGAAUCGCAAUAUCUCUCUGUCUGGGGUCUCAGUCUCGGUCACUUCAUUCACAUGUGGUGUUUGCACCACCGUUCAUUCCAUCGCUUCUACACACACAAUCUUCCCUAACCGUCAGAUCAAUCCACUGGUGGUUCUUACAUCUUUCUCAUACCCAAGGCCCAACAACAAACACUAACCAUGCAUCUACACGCUUCCACU
rnacentral:lncRNA from 1 species